AUUGAACGCUGGCGGCAUGCCUUACACAUGCAAGUCGAACGGUAACGCGGGGCAACCUGGCGACGAGUGGCGAACGGGUGAGUAAUAUAUCGGAACGUGCCCAGUCGUGGGGGAUAACUGCUCGAAAGAGCAGCUAAUACCGCAUACGACCUGAGGGUGAAAGCGGGGGAUCUUCGGACCUCGCGCGAUUGGAGCGGCCGAUAUCAGAUUAGGUAGUUGGUGGGGUAAAGGCCUACCAAGCCGACGAUCUGUAGCUGGUCUGAGAGGACGACCAGCCACACUGGGACUGAGAUACGGCCCAGACUCCUACGGGAGGCAGCCAGUGGGAAUAUUGCGCAAUGGGCGAAAGCCUGACGCAGCAACGCCGCGUGC
rnacentral:rRNA from 1 species